GAUGAACGCUAGCGGCAGGCCUAACACAUGCAAGUCGAGGGGUAUAGAUUAGCUUGCUAAUCUAGAGACCGGCGCACGGGUGAGUAACGCGUAUGCAACCUACCUUUCACAAAGGGAUAG
rnacentral:rRNA from 1 species